rnacentral:miRNA from 1 species
UUUUGCAUUUUCCUGCAUCUUUCCAUCUUUAUUUUAAGAUUUUGGUGGUUUUAUGAGUUGUCCUGUUUCUUUUUGCCAUUUUCCAACAACAAAUAUAGGAAACAAAGAUGGAAAGAUGCAGGAAAAUGGAGGAA